CAGAGGGGAAACACACAACUAAGUCACGUCCGAGGUCAAAGUCAAGCGAAUGGAGGAGUCAGGCAUGAAACUGGUGACCCUAGCCCCAAAUCUAGUUAGUUAUGCCUCCGGCUCCUGGUCUCUUCCAAGAUUUCUACACAGUUCCAAGCUCUCCUGCAUUUGCCAGAUGUUUAUCACAUCUUUCAAGUGGAAGCAAGUUCUUUCAAUUAAGCUCAUCAGGGGAAACCCACUCUACUUCUCUGAAAGAGGAACGGCUGAACCAGUUCGCCUAAAAUAAGAACUGACGUGAGUCUUUGUCUGAAUUCUGAAGCUGUUCUGACAGCGUUUUCUAGUUGGCUAAGGUCCCACCAGUAAUGAACUGGAAUAUAAAAACAAAGGCUGUUCUCAUGUUGUUUCCCAACCAAAGAGGGCUGUCCAAGCACUGGAUAAGGCAUGAAAAUGUGACUCAAAUUUGGCCAAGGGACUCUGGUAAGAAAUUUGCUGAGGAUGGCUAUGAAUCGUUUUCUUCUCCAAGAAGACACAAGAGAAAAAAAUCUCCCUCUCUCUUCCUGUGGAUGCUUGAGAAUAUGGAACCUGGGUCUGUACCAGUCAUCAUGUGAAUAUGAGAGUCAAAGCUAAGGACAAGUCAAAACACUGACCUGACUGUAGAUGGCACAGUGGAAAGAUAGAAAGAGCCUGAAUCUUUGAUAUCAUAGAACCAGUGAAUUAACCCUGGAACCACUCCACCUCUGGACUUCUUGUAUGCAAGAUAACAAAUGUAUUUUUUAAUUUAAACCAGUUUUAGGGUACUGAAAGUAUCUUAAAUGAUACAAUCGCUUUCCAGGGAACCAGGCACCUAGAGAAAAUUUAGCAAGUUUCUAAGACUACCGCGUACUAUAUGCAAUAGGUCUUACCAGGUACACAUACACUUAUAACUCAAAUAUAUGUGACAAAAUAAACAAAAACACAUCUCUCUCAAACUGUUAGUACUGGGGAGAAAUGGCGGGGGGUGGGGGACAUUGAAAUGACUUCUUCACAGAAGAGAGUGUAUGAUUUUUGUCUUCUGAGGAUAAUAGUUCUCCUAUUGGAAAAGUUAUUGAUAUGUGAAUUAACUGACUCCACCGCCAUUCCUAGAACCUUGUAAGAAGCUUCCCAAUAUCUAUUUUGCAAUUGUAACCCGGAUGAGCCCUCCCUGUGUUUUUGCCCCAAGUCCUCUGUCUUUCUGAACUCAUUUUUUCCUUAAAAAUUAAAAAAAAAAACCAGUAUGAAAUAAAAUGAUGAGUAACCAAGAU
rnacentral:lncRNA from 1 species